rnacentral:lncRNA from 1 species
GUACAUUCCUUUACAGACUUGAAAAUAGAAAAAAAGUUUUGUAAGUUCUUAAUAACUUAGUGAGCUAAACCUUAGAAUAAUUUUUUCAAUUACUAUAUGUUGCACAUUGUAUAUACCACAUUGUUGGGUAUUUCUUGACCUUUCUCCCUUCUUUGGCGGGUACAGUACUGAGGCUACCAUAUUUCUUUCUUCAAAACCACUUCCCCUUUUUUGGGUGUACUAUACUUAACACAUCUUUAGUUUCUAUCUCC